UCAUUUAAGGUGGAAAAUUACACUUUGUUUUAAAGUGAAUCUCUUUGGAAGUGUGUUGAGGUAUAAUAUACUUAUUUUAUUCAAUUAGAAGCCUAUGUUACUCUCAUUAUACGAUAAAUUUCCUUAAUUUCUUAAAACUUUUGAUAAAAUGUCCACAACAACAAGAAGGCGAGGAGUGCGAUUUUUUUUUGUCAUGCAUAACAUUUUUGACGUACUCAAUUUAUAUUCUGGUUCAGAAGAUUUCGAUGACAUAAGUAUUUGUUCACCUACAAUUCAUUUCAUAUAUUAUUUAACUAUUUCAAGCUAACUUUGGUUAAUUCUUUUCAGAUUUCUCGUUCCUUUACCUCUGAUCCUUAUACGGAAGAUCAAAUCAAUGAGGUGAAAAAUAAGUGGGCAAGAUACUUCAUUGAUAAUUGCAUUGCGUAGUUUUGCAGGUGAAUUUUUGAUGUGCAUGGGAGCAUACUAGGAAGGGGAUCUUCACCUAGAUUAGAGCAUUUUAUUUAUUUUGAUUUUGAGAUAAUAUUUAAUUUUAAUAAUAAGAAGUUAUUAUUCUGGUUAAAGUCUUCCACUGUAAGUUAUUUGGUUAGUAGUUGGUUGCCGAAAGCGUGUUAGUCAUGUGGCGGUAGUACUCCUAAAUUAAUCAAAUAUUAUUUAUUUUAAA